rnacentral:rRNA from 1 species
GACCCUUCGGGGUGAGCGGCGGACGGGUGAGUAACGCGUGGGUAACCUGCCCUAUACACACGGAUAACGUACCGAAAGGUACGCUAAUACGGGAUAAAGUUGUUGGAUGGCAUCUUCUAACAAUCAAAGCUCCGGCGGUAUAGGAUGGACCCGCGUCUGAUUAGCUAGUUGGUGAGGUAAUGGCUCACCAAGGCGACGAUCAGUAGCCGACCUGAGAGGGUGAUCGGCCACACUGGAACUGAGACACGGUCCAGACUCCUACGGGAGGCAGCAGUGGGGAAUAUUGCACAAUGGGCGAAAGCCUGAUGCAGCAACGCCGCGUGAGCGAUGAAGGUCUUCGGAUCGUAAAGCUCUGUCCUCAAGGAAGAUAAUGACGGUACUUGAGGAGGAAGCCCCGGCUAACUACGUGCCAGCAGCCGCGGUAAUACGUAGGGGGCUAGCGUUAUCCGGAAUUACUGGGCGUAAAGGGUGCGUAGGCGGUCUUUCAAGCCAGAAGUGAAAGGCUACGGCUCAACCGUAGUAAGCUUUUGGAACUGUAAGACUUGAGUGCAGGAGAGGAGAGUGGAAUUCCUAGUGUAGCGGUGAAAUGCGUAGAUAUUAGGAGGAACACCAGUUGCGAAGGCGGCUCUCUGGACUGUAACUGACGCUGAGGCACGAAAGCGUGGGGAGCAAACAGGAUUAGAUACCCUGGUAGUCCACGCCGUAAACGAUGAGUACUAGGUGUCGGGGGUUACCCCCCUCGGUGCCGCAGCUAACGCAUUAAGUACUCCGCCUGGGAAGUACGCUCGCAAGAGUGAAACU